AAUAUCAGUCAUGCAUAGCAUAUCAAUAAGCGGAGGAAAAGAAACUAACAAGGAUUCCCCUAGUAACGGCGAGUGAAGCGGGAAGAGCUCAAAUUUGAAAUCUUAAAGGGUUUCCCUUUACGAAUUGUAGUUUAAAGAAGUGUUUUCUGUUGGAGUUUCGGCUAAAAGUUCUUUGGAAUAGGACAUCAUAGAGGGUGAGAAUCCCGUAUUUGACCGUUACUUUCCAGCUGUGUGAUACACUUUCAAAGAGUCGGAUUGUUUGGGAAUGCAGUCCAAAAUGGGUGGUAAAUUUCAUCUAAAGCUAAAUAUUGGCGAGAGAGCCGAUAGCGAACAAGUACCGUGAGGGAAAGAUGAAAAGAACUUUGAAAAGAGAGUUAAACAGUACGUGAAAUUGUCAAAAGGGAAGGCGUUUGACACCAGUGUUGUUUAGUUGAAAAUCAAUUAAAUAAUUUGUGAUUUUGAGUAGUAUUGACUUUAUCAGCUUGCUGCUUUCUUUUCAGAAAUUAUUGAAUGCACUUUUCAGUUAACAAGUCAACAUCAAUUUCUUUUGUUGUGAAGGGUAAGAGGAAGGUGGCUUACGCUUCGGCGUAAGUGUUUAUAGCCUUUUACCUCUGCAAUCGGAGAGAUUGAGGACAGCAGCGUAGACUCUUCGGGGUUAGAUACACUUGUGCUAAGCUAUAGCCUUGUAUAGACAACUUGUUGACUAUGCUCAGUCAUGUAGCUUACUCGCUUGUGCUAUUUUACCUACGCUUAGGAUGUUGAUCUCUCACAGUCGAGC
rnacentral:rRNA from 1 species